CCCUUAGAUGCUCUGGGCCGCACGCGCGCUACACUGGUCGAUGCAACGAGUUUCUUUCCUUGGCCGACAGGCCUGGGCAAUCUUUGAACAUCGAUCGUGAUCGGGAUAGAUUCUUGUAAUUUUUGAUCUUAAACGAGGAAUUCCUAGUAAACGCAAGUCAUCAGCUUGCAUUGAUUACGUCCCUGCCCUUUGUACACACCGCCCGUCGCACCUACCGAUUGAAUGGUCUGGUGAAAUCUCCGGACUGGCGUGAGUCGGAGCAAUCUGACAAACGCCGGAAAGUUGAUUAAACCUUACCAUUUAGAGGAAGGUGAAGUCGUAACA
rnacentral:rRNA from 1 species